UGGAUAAAAUGCAGUGCAGCACUGAA
rnacentral:piRNA from 1 species